rnacentral:rRNA from 1 species
GAUGAACGCUGGCGGCGUGCCUAACACAUGCAAGUCGAGCGGCAGCGAGGGGUGCUUGCACCCUGUCGGCGAGCGGCGGACGGCUGAGUAACGCGUGGGAACGUGCCCCAAAGUGAGGAAUAACUGCCCGAAAGGGUAGCUAAUACCGCAUAUUAUCUUCGGAUCAAAGGAUUUAUCCGCUUUGGGAGCGGCUCGCGUCGGAUUAGGUAGUAGGUGAGGUAAUGGCUCACCAAGCCGACGAUCCGUAGCUGGUCUGAGAGGAUGACCAGCCAGACUGGAACUGAGACACGGUCCAGACUCCUACGGGAGGCAGCAGUGAGGAAUCUUCCACAAUGGGCGAAAGCCUGAUGGAGCAACGCCGCGUGCAGGACGAAGGCCUUCGGGUUGUAAACUGCUUUUAUAAGUGAGGAAUAUGACGGUAACUUAUGAAUAAGGAUCGGCUAACUACGUG